rnacentral:lncRNA from 1 species
CCAUUAUCUUCUGUAUCAUUGUCAUCUUCUGAGGCUGCCUUAGCAGUCUUGACCCUUUUCUUACUGGAUAGAUUGUUUUCCUCCCCUUUACGCUUUUUAGGAUCGAAAGUGGUCUGUUUCUUGCCUUUUGCAACACUUUUUUUUCUCGGUUUAACAUCAUCAUCCUCAUUUUCUUCCUUGCCACUCUCACUAUCUGAAAUACCAGAGUUCUCUUCACUGCUGACCAUUUUAGUUGCUUUGGUAUCAGGUUUCUUCUUAACAAUUUUCUUAGCAUUAUUUGCAGGUUCCAAAACUUCUGAAGACGAUAUUACCUUCACAUUCAACAAAGACAUGCUAUAAGCAUCAGAUGAUAUGUGGCUGUUCUUAUGGGAAGCAAUGAUACUUUCUAGACAGAUUUUUCACUCACCUCGUCUAGCUGUUGACUUAUAAGCUUCUUAUAGAGAUCAAGAGUGAAUUUAUCAAGUUUAAGAUCUUCCUCCAUAUUUCCUCCAACUCCUUUAUUAGCUGCCCUUCACGCUUGUUUUCAGGAGCCUGCUUGACUUUUUUGUAAAUUGUGGGAGGAAUGCUGGUGGCAAUACAUAAUAUCAAGCAAUCAUCCUUAACAAAGAUUAAGGAUCAUAAAAAUGAUGUAAAGAAGAAAAUUACCUCAUUCCACAUGCUUUAAUAACAGAUUUUAGGUGUUCCACACGUUUACCAUACACAGGAGUUGAAACCUCUUUCUUCUGCAGUUGGGGAAAAAUAAAGAGAUGAUAUAAUAAAAUAUAUGAUAUCCAUUUAACUUCUACGAAUUGACAAAUCAUAAAUGAUGUUGUGGACAGCUUCACGAAAAGUCCCACAGAAGGACAACCAUGUGGCUAUUUCAUCACAUACAGAGCAGUUAUUCAGCUAAAAGAUCACUAUUAAAUUAAGAAAUGAUUAUGGCCUUAACUGUCCGACAUGCUACCCCACUUUACUCAUUGCAAUCAGCAUGAUCAAUAAUUCAGAAUACCUUUGUACAUUUUUCUGGUAAUGACCCGGACUGAUCAUCUUCAGAGUGUUUUCCAUUAUCUUCUGUAUCAUUGUCAUCUUCUGAGGCUGCCUUAGCAGUCUUGACCCUUUUCUUACUGGAUAGAUUGUUUUCCUCCCCUUUACGCUUUUUAGGAUCGAAAGUGGUCUGUUUCUUGCCUUUUGCAACACUUUUUUUUCUCGGUUUAACAUCAUCAUCCUCAUUUUCUUCCUUGCCACUCUCACUAUCUGAAAUACCAGAGUUCUCUUCACUGCUGACCAUUUUAGUUGCUUUGGUAUCAGGUUUCUUCUUAACAAUUUUCUUAGCAUUAUUUGCAGGUUCCAAAACUUCUGAAGACGAUAUUAC